rnacentral:rRNA from 1 species
UACGGGGGGGGCAAGCGUUGUUCGGAAUUACUGGGCGUAAAGGGCUCGUAGGCGGCCAACUAAGUCAGACGUGAAAUCCCCAGGCUCAACCUGGGAACUGCGUCUGAUACUGGAUGGCUUGAAUUCGGGAGAGGGAUGCAGAAUUCCAGGUGUAGCGGUGAAAUGCGUAGAUAUCUGGAGGAACACCGGUGGCGAAGGCGACAUCCUGGACCGGUAUUGACGCUGAGGCGCGAAAGCCGGGGGAGCAAACGGG